AGAGGCAGGCGGAUCCCUGUGAGCUGGAGGCCGGCCUGGUCUACACAGUGAGUUCCAGGCCAGCUGGGGCUACAGGGAGACCCUGUUUCAAAAAGACCAUUUUUUUUGAAACAGGGUCUCCCUGUAGCCCCAGCUGGCCUGGAACUCACUGUGUAGACCAGGCCAGCCUCGAACUCAGAGAUCCGCCUGCCUCUGCCUCCCGAGUGCUGGGACUACAGGCGUGCACCACCACACCCGAC
rnacentral:SRP_RNA from 1 species